AGAGAAGUAAAAGUCGUAACAAGGUUUCCGUAGGUGAACCUGCGGAAGGAUCAUUACAGUAUGAUUAGGGGGUUGGAUGCUGGCCCGAGAGGGCAUGUGCGCGCCUCCAUUUCUAAUCCUACAAUACACACCUGUGCACCCCAUUGGCAAGCACCUCCCGCCAGUCAACCCUUUCGAGGGGGGGGGAAGGUCGGACCCGAGGUGCUUCCCUUCUUUUAUAAUCUCAGCCUGUUUGAAUGCAUGUUUAAAAGGGCUCUACGGAGCGAAUAUAAUACAACUUUCGACAACGGAUCUCUUGGCUUUUGCAUCGAUGAAGAACGCCGCGAAAGUGCGAAACGUAAUGUGAAUUGCAGAAUUCAGUGAAUCAUCGAAUCUUUGAACGCAUCUUGCGCCCCUUGGUAUUCCGAGGAGCAUGCCUGUUUGAGUGUCGUGAAACCUCAUCAACCUUUGCUUCUUUUGUUGGAAGGGAGGGUUGGAUUUGGAUGUUUGCGGCGGUCUGUCCGUCGCUCGUCUUUAAAUGCAUUAGCUGGCCCCCUCGAGUUGGUUCAACAACGGUGUGAUAAUAAACGUUUUGUUGACUGUGGUGCCGUUUGGCCGGCUCGAGUCGUUGGGUUGCUUAACACAGUCUUCGGACAAUGCUUUUCAUGCCAUCUGACCUCAGAUCAGGUAGGACUACCCGCUGAACUUAAGCAUAUCA
rnacentral:rRNA from 1 species